GACGAACGCUGGCGGCGUGCCUAAUACAUGCAAGUAGAACGCAGUUGCGAACGGGUGAGUAACGCGUAGGUAACUGUCUCAUAGCGGGGGAUAACUAUUGGAAACGAUAGCUAAUACCGCAUACUGUGAGAUGGAUCUGCGUUGUAUUAGCUAGUUGGUGAGGGAAAGGGUCACCAAGGUGACGAGACAUACCCGACCUGAGAGGGAGAUCGGCCACGCUGGGACUGGGACCCGGGCCCGACCCCUUCGGGAGGCAACAGUAGGGGAUCUUUGGCAAAUGGCGGAAGUCUGGCCGAGCAACGGCGCGUUGGUGGAGAAAGUUUUUGGGGCGUAAAACUCUUUUCUUAGAGAAGCGGUACCUGACCAGAAAGCGACGGCUAACUACGUGCCAGCAGCCGCGGUAAUAC
rnacentral:rRNA from 1 species